rnacentral:lncRNA from 12 species
CGCCGGAGGGGCCCAGGUGUGCGAGGGGACCCUGCCCGGAAGGUGGUGAGGGCCUGUGACCUGGGACCCUCUGUUCCAGCUGCUUCUCCACGGACACGCACUGGUUCUCGGGGCCGCACUGCGAGGUGGCCGUCGCCCGGCGAGCGCUGGUGGGGGGCCUGGUGGGGUCGCGGCUGUGCUGCUGCUGCUGCUGCUCCUGGUGUCCCUGAGCGUCUUCGUUGCGCGCUCCCGGAGAGGCGGCCAGGGUGAAGGCGGGUGAGCGCGCUGGGGGUGGGGGUGAGGUCGGCAAAGGGGUCCCAGCUGGGCGGCCCUGCUCUGACGGUGCGUUGCCCCAGCUCAGGUCCUGGGAGGACGACAGGAAAUGGUUCGAGGUCUGGGAUGAAGACACUGUGGGGACGUUUUCAAACUUGGACUCGGAGAACAACCGAACAGGGCAGACGCGUACUUCGUGUACCUGGAGCAGGGAG